UGAGUGUGUUCUCCCAUCAGUGCACUUCUCCCAGGGGUGCUCACUGAAGCUGGUCCACGUCUAUAAACAGGUGACACUGGCUGCAGCAAAAAGCCAUUCGAUCCACACAAAUUGAUCUUCUAUCAUCUUGGAAUCUGAAUUGCAGGGAGGAGCAGCAUGUAAGACGACCGUUUAAUUCAGGCAUUCCGAAGGCAUGAGCGCAUGGAUUCUGUCACCAAGCGUAUAAAAGGACCCUGGCAUUGGGAAACCUAUGACGGACUGUUUUUGCUGUAGAAGUAGGGAUUUUACAGAAGUCUCCUUGAAUUUGCCCUGCCUGGGGCAGUUUUGCAGAGGAACCUGCCAGAGAUUUAUUGGCUGGUCAGUCUCUUGUGAAAUAGUAUCAUGUGAGAAACAGUUUGUAGAAAAAAACUAUACCUGGGAAGACCUUUGCAACAUUGUUCCUUCCAUGGGCCAAGACUCAGUUAGGAGGCAUAAAUCUGCCCGGAAUAAACUAGGCCAGGAUACAGCCAUGUUUAGUUAAUAAUUUGGUUUUAGAAUUCACACAGGCAGGAUUGGUUUUUUUGUGUCUUGGCAAGUGGAGCAUAUUUAACAUACAGGCAUGGGAAUCCUGCCUCUUAGCUUUUCCCACCCUCUUGUCUCACCAAGUUUUUUCUCUCCAAAGGUUUCCAGGAAUUUCUCAUUAAUGGCUGAUGCAAACUUAGUGAAUAAUAAUGAAUAUAAACAAUGCUCACCUCACCAAAAUUAUAUUAUUUGCAGUCAUUUGUGAUAACACAAAUUUUAUCGCAAUGGUUAUUAUUUAAUUUGUGGCCACACACUGUGGUUAUCUUUUGUUGUGGUUGUUUCUGAGAAAAUGUUCUUGGAUAUGUAAGUGCCAAUACCAGUGUGAAGUAUUGAUCCCGGGCAGCAAAAUACAGCCUAAGGUUUGUAAACAUCAAUUCUAUCUCAGUUCAUCAGAGGGCCUGAGAAGCUGCGGGGCAGUGUAAAGUAAAGUAUGCUGGGCUGGUGGUGGUCAGCCUUCCCCUUGCCAAGAAGAGAGCAAUUGAAUCCUGUCCCCAGCUCCCUCCAGCCUGAAGAGUGACCAGUGCUGGCCCGACGGAUCGCUGAGAUAUUCUCCCAUAAUGGCAAAAAAUAGGCAGUUUGAUGUGACCUGUUUAGUGUGGCUCUCCUCUUUUGAGCAUGUGUUAGCAUUUUUAUUUUAUACUCAUCCAGUGAACUCUGCUCUUCCAAGUGUGUUCAUGUAUGUGCUAGAUAUAUUAGCACAGCCUGCCUUCUGCUGCACAACGCCUUAGAGACCCGGCCUUUCAAUGAGCUUAGCUUGUGCUCUGUUUCUGCUCUCUUAGGUCUAAACUAUGGUGUCAGUUUUAAUAGAACAAAAGUAUGCAUCUUGCCUUGGCUUGAGCCUUUUCGUUUUCAAUGCUGACUUCUCCCCUUUCUCUCCUGUGCUCACCUUACCUUUCCAGAGUGUAAGGGACAACUUUUAAGGAGGCGUGUCCCUGGUAGGGGCAUCCCUGUUCACCAGGUGCCUGUCAUCACCCCACUUGACUGACAUCUACCCUGGUGACUAUGGGUUCCUCUUGUUUGUAGGGAACGGUGGCUCCAGGUGGAGGCAUCAAUCUGUUGGGUUCUGGUUCCCGGCUGCCUUUGGUUUUGAAAGUCUCUUCUCUGUAUAUUCCUACCCUGCAUUUGCUUUGUGUGGUGCUGAUGCUGUGCGCAGUAGGAUUCUUGGAUGACUCUCCAUCAGUCACAGACUCCCCCUGUUGCAAAGUGUCAGGCUGACUCGACAGUCACCGUAAAAUCUGAGUCAGUCACACACAGGCUGUCAGCCACGGCUUCCACUUGCAUGGCUAUUCUAUUUUCACACGUGAGUUUCUGUUGCUGGCUGGCUGACUGGCAUUAUCUAUGCUAAGUUGAAAUCAGGGGUGCCCAGCAGAGCCCAUCAUUCUCACUGUCUUUGAAACAAAGCUGUACGGUUUGAUCGAUGAACGUAUUUAAAGCAUUUCAUGCAAUGACAAAGUGCUCAGUAGUGGAAGGCAGGCUGUGACCAGUCUGCCUGCUCCUUACUAUAAUUGUGAGGAUUUGUUACUGGAACAGUACAUGGAGGCCUGACCUUGUGGGGGCACAGGGUGGAACCUUAGCUGAAUAUAGUGUGUGUCUCAAGAGGAAGUCAGGGUACUAGCUCAGUGCUCAAUCUCCAGGUACUAUAUAUACAUUUGCCCGUUUUAUCUCUAAUGUGAAAUAAAUCCCCAAACACUUGUUUAUCGUGUAGCGUACCUAAAAGACUAUUCUAUUAUGGGUGUCCCCACUUUCUUGGUUUGGUCACCCCGAUCCCCCGGUCUUCUGCUGUAUCUAGAACAGUGACUAUAAAUGAUGUAUGGGAAUAGUGUUUCCAUAUGAUCUGUUGUCUGGAGUAUAUGCUACAUGUUCAUUUACUGUACAAAAACCCAGUGCAGCUGAUGAUGCAAAGCAGUCUCUCUCUGUGUACAGUGCCCCACCUAUUUAAAAAUCACGUACUUGCCCAGAACACUGUGAAACACUUAACAUAAGAACAAACGCAGCGUCUGGAUUCUUUCCAAGGAGAGCAGCUUUCUCCACAGGAACACAGUAACAAAAGAGGUCCGCCGCCAUCCACACCCAGCCAAGACACCUCAGAGGCCAUAGGGACAACCUCCUUGCUGGCCAACACCUGCUGGAGCAGGGGCACAGGUCCCAGCAACUGAUCCUCAGUGGAUGGGUCUGCAGCCAAAGCCUUAAUGGGCUCUCUUUUGAAGGGGAAAGAAAGAAUUUCAAGCUUAUGAUAUCCAACAUUAUUAUAGUUGAUGAGUUAGUAAAUUCCAAAAAAAAAAGAUGAUUUUAUAUGUAUGACAUAAAAAAAAUCUUUGUAAAGUGCGCAAGUGCAAUAAUUUAAAGAGGUCUUAUCUUUGCAUUUAUAAAUUAUAAAUAUUGUACAUGUGUGUAAUUUUUCAUGUAUUCAUUUGCAGUCUUUGUAUUUAAAAAAACUUUACUGUUAUGUUUGUAUAAUAGAACAUUAAUCAUUUAUUAUAACUCAGACAAGGUGUAAAUAAAUUCAUAAUUCAAACAGCCAGUAUAUAUGCAUAUAUGGGUGUUACAUUGCAAAAAUCUCUAUCUUUGUUCUAUUCACAUGCUUAAAGAAGUAAGAAAUCUUUUGUGGAUAUGUAAUUAUACAUAUAAAGUAUAUAUAUAUGUAUGAUACAUGAAAUAUAUUUAGAAAUGUUCAUAAUUUUAAUGGAUAUUCUUUGGUGUGAAUAAUUGAAUACAACAUUUUU
rnacentral:lncRNA from 1 species